rnacentral:rRNA from 1 species
GUAUGGUGCAAGCGUUGUUCGGAAUCACUGGGCGUAAAGGGUGCGCAGGCGGACUGUUAAGUCGGGAGUGAAAACUGAGGGCUCAACCCUCAGCCUGCUUUCGAAACUGGCAGUCUGGAGUCCCGGAGAGGCAGGCGGAAUUCCCGGUGUAGCGGUGAAAUGCACAGAUAUCGGGAGGAACACCAAUGGCGAAGGCAGCCUGCUGGACGGAGACUGACGCUCAUGCACGAAAGCGUGGGGAUCAAACAGGAUUAGAUACCCUGGUAGUCCACGCCCUAAACGUUGUAGACCAGACGUUGGAGGCAUCAACCCCUUCAGUGUCAAACCAAACGGAUUAAGUCUACCGCCUGGGGACUAUGCUCGCAAGAGUG